UGAUACGAAUAUGUUCACCACUCCAGAAACUCAGUUACUGGUCUUAAAUAUCACAUUUCCUGUCCAUUCAUUUGACAGGUCUGGACCAUAUAUUCUGGGCACUUUUUCCCUUUUUCUUUAAUAAGGAAACUUCUUGGCAUGGUUUUCCCCCAACACUCAUCUUUUCUUCAGGAGGACGAUGAAAUAGCGGUCCAUCUUCAAUACAGAGAAGUAGCUCUGGCCUGUGGCUAUAUCCACGAGUAAAAUAUUUGCAACAUACACAUGGAAUAUACAGAGAUGGUCCCUUUCUGCCCAAACACUAAGGGGAAAUGAAACAGAGCAUAUCUGGCUAUGUAGUUGGACUGUUAUGUCAAUCUGAUUAGAAAAUUGUGAAAAUGCAAGAGACUAGGGAAGGAUGAACUGUGUGGCGUUUCAGUUCCAGCAAGUAUUUCAACUCAAUCAAGUCAGUUCUAUCCAAUGGAUCACCAAGGAGUUGUAAGCUGCAAACAGGAACCUGACAAGCUACCUUAUGAUGGAUCUUUUCUCCCCACGAAACUAUCAACAUCAUCAAUCCCUUCAAUCAAAGCAAGAUAAGUGCUAUCAUCAGGGGUAAUGCCUUUACUAACCAUUUCUUUGAGAAGUUCCUCGGCAAGUACACCUUCCUGUUUUUUGCAUAAACCUUGUAUGAGAGCAUUGUAAGUGAGAAGAGUAGGGUUAAAACCUGCACUUAACAUGUCAUCACGAACUUUGAAUGCAUCAUCCAUGUCACCUCUCUUACUAUACCCACUGAUUAGAGUGUUAUAGCUGAUAUGAUCAGGUUUAAUUCCUCUUCCCUUCAUCUCCUUGAGAAGUGCACAAGCUUCUUCAACUUUACUCUCCCUACAAUACCCUUGCAUCAGACAAUUGUAGGUAACUUCAUCAGGCUGAAUGUUCAUUCUAUUCAUCUCCUUCAGUAUAUCAAAAGCACGUACAACGUUACCAUUGGCACAAUGGCCAUCAAUCAAUGCAUUGAACAUAAUAAGAUCUGGGAAUAUCCCUUUCCGCAAUAUUUCAACAACCAAAUCAUCUGCUUCUUUCAUCCGAUUCCAUUUGCCCAAGACUUUGAUAAGUGAUGUAUAAGUGACAAUCGUUGGUUGGAGACCCUUACUCAACAUUUCAUCAUAGAACUUAAAUGCCUUCUUUGGAUUUCCCGCCCUGCAAUAGCCAUUGAUCAAUAUGUUAUAUGUAAUACUAUCAGGAAGUACUCUCUUCUCUGCCAUGUCUUUCAUCAGAUCAUCAGUUUCCGCCAUUCUGCCAUCAAGAAACAAUGCAUGGAUCAACAAGUUAUACGUAGUAACACUCGGCGCAACCCCAAUCUUAACCAUCUCAUCCCUAUAAAAGAACACCUUUUCGAAGUCCCCUUUAUUGCAGCAUGAAUCUAUCAGAGUAUUGUAAGUCACAGCUGUAGGGAUCAACCCGAACGACUUCAUUUUCUCAAACAAUGAAGACACCUCCUUUUCCCUCCCCUCCUUCACCAUCCCGCUGAUUAGAGAAUUAAACGUAUACAAAUCAGGCGCAAUUCCUUUUACUGUCAUCGUCUCGAAAAACUUAUUUGCUCCUUCAACAUCCCCCUUCGAACAAUAACCAUGAAUCACUGUAUUAUACGAUAUUAAAUUCGGCUUAACCCCUAAACACUGCAUGUUUUCAAUGAACUCCUUUGCCUUCUUCAACUUGCCUUCUUUACAUAGAACAUUGAUCAUUAUAUUAAAUGUACAUACAGUCGAACUAAUCUUCAUCCUAAACAUUUCAGCAUACACAAUCCAGGCCAAAUGGGUCCUAUUCAAUUUAUUAAAAAGACUCAAUAAAUCAUUACAAGUUUCAAUCUUGGGCAAAAUUCCAUUCUGUUUCAUUAAAUAAAAGCACUUUAACGCCUCCUUGCCUUUCUUCAAUUCACAGUACGCCCUUACAAGCAAAUCCAACACAAUUGAG
rnacentral:lncRNA from 1 species